rnacentral:rRNA from 1 species
AUUGAACGCUGGCGGCAUGCUUUACACAUGCAAGUCGAACGGCAGCACGAGUGCUUGCACUUGGUGGCGAGUGGCGAACGGGUGAGUAAUGCAUCGGAACAUGUCCUAGAGUGGGGGAUAACGCAUUGAAAAAUGUGCUAAUACCGCAUAAUCUUCGAGAAGAAAAGCAGGGGAUCGCAAGACCUUGUGCUUUAGGAGUGGCCGAUGUCUGAUUAGCUAGUUGGUAAGGUAAAAGCUUACCAAGGCGACGAUCAGUAGCUGGUCUGAGAGGACGAUCAGCCACACUGGGACUGAGACACGGCCCAGACUCCUACGGGAGGCAGCAGUGGGGAAUUUUGGACAAUGGGCGAAAGCCUGAUCCAGCAAUGCCGCGUGAGUGAAGAAGGCCUCGGUUGUAAGACUCUUUCUAGUCGAGAAGAAAAGACUAUAUUAAAUAAAUAAUAAGACUAAUAGACGGUA